CAAACUGAUUCUGGUCUCCCUUCUGUCAGCUUCUGUCUGCAAGACAUGGACGUCUACACCUGCAGGAGCUCUGGGAUCAGCAGAUCUCCAGGAAAAAGCAAACUCAGCUCCUGCGAAGUCUGUGACCUACUCAGGGCUGCCGCAGCCCGAAAGAGACGACAGAGCCUUGGGCCAGGUGGGAGAGCGGAGGCGGGAGCUGGUGAGAUCUCAGACUCUCCCUCGAAGCAUCGGCGCUCAGACCCGUCGAUCUCUAUUCGAAAGAUUAGACUCUGAAGCAGGGAAGAGCCGCCCUAAACAAGCAGGGCUGAAGCGCUCGCAGAGUUUCGGCGUGUCCAGCGCCAGCAGCAUCAAGCAGAUUCUUCUGGAAUGGUGCCGUUCUAAGACUGUUGGCUACCAGGUGAAAGAUUGGCC